rnacentral:rRNA from 1 species
AGAGUUUGAUCCUGGCUCAGAAUGAACGUUGGCGGCGUGGAUUAGGCAUGCAAGUCGUGCGAGAAGGGUUCUUUUGCUUGCAUUAGGACCUGGAAAGCGGCGAAAGGGAGAGUAACGCGUGGAUUAUCUACCCCUGGGUCCGGGAUAGCUGUGGGAAACUACAGGUAAUACCGGAUAACGUCCAGUGACGUGAUGUUGUUGGACCAAAGGUGUGAUUCCGUCUGGGGAUGAGUCCGCGUCCUACUAGCUAGUUGGUGGGGUAACGGCCUACCAAGGCAAUGAUGGGUACCGGGUGUGAGAGCAUGGCCCGGCUCACUGGGACUGAGACACUGCCCAGACACCUACGGGUGGCUGCAGUCGAGAAUCUUCCGCAAUGGGCGCAAGCCUGACGGAGCGACGCCGCGUGCGGGAUGAAGGCCUUCGGGUUGUAAACCGCUGUCAGUUGGGAGGAAAUGCUAUAGGGUACUCUCUAUAGUUUGACCGAUCUUCAGAGGAAGUCCGGGCUAAGUUCGUGCCAGCAGCCGCGGUAAGACGAACCGGACGAACGUUAUUCGGAAUCACUGGGCUUAAAGAGUGCGUAGGCGGCUUUGUAGGUGAGGUGUGAAAUCCCACGGCUCAACCGUGGAACUGCGCUUCAAACCACAAGGCU